rnacentral:rRNA from 1 species
GAUGAACGCUAGCGGCAGGCCUAACACAUGCAAGUCGAGGGAGGAGCCUUCGGGCUUCGACCGGCGUACGGGUGCGUAACGCGUAUACAAUCUGCCUUUCACAUAGGGAUAGCCCGAAGAAAUUUGGAUUAAUACCUAAUGGUAUAUAGAUGUGGCAUCACCUUUAUAUUAAAGCUGAGGCGGUGAAAGAUGAGUAUGCGUUCUAUUAGCUAGUUGGAGAGGUAACGGCUCCCCAAGGCGACGAUAGAUAGGGGUUCUGAGAGGGAUAUCCCCCACACUGGUACUGAGAUACGGACCAGAAUCCUACGGGAGGCAGCAGUGAGGAAUAUUGGACAAUGGUCGGAAGACUGAUCCAGCCAUGCCGCGUGCAGGAAGACGGCCUUAUGGGUUGUAAACUGCUUUUGCAGGGGAAGAAUAAGGACUACGCGUAGUUUGAUGACGGUACUCUGCGAAUAAGCAUCGGCUAACUCCGUG